rnacentral:pre_miRNA from 1 species
UCUUAUGGAUAAGCAAAGAAAGUAGCUUUUUGAGAUGGCAUCUACUUCUGGUGAAGAUGCUGUGCA